rnacentral:rRNA from 1 species
ACGGGUGAGUAACACGUGGGCAACCUGCCCUUGAGACUGGGAUAACUUCGGGAAACCGGAGCUAAUACCGGAUAAUAUAAGGAACCUCCUGGUUCCUUAUUGAAAGAUGGUUUCGGCUAUCACUUAAGGAUGGGCCCGCGGCGCAUUAGCUAGUUGGUGAGGUAACGGCUCACCAAGGCGACGAUGCGUAGCCGACCUGAGAGGGUGAUCGGCCACACUGGGACUGAGACACGGCCCAGACUCCUACGGGAGGCAGCAGUAGGGAAUCUUCCACAACGGACGAAAGUCUGAUGGAGCAACGCCGCGUGAGUGAUGAAGGCCUUCGGGUCGUAAAGCUCUGUUGUUAGGGAAGAACAAGUGCGAGAGUAACUGCUCGCACCUUGACGGUACCUAACCAGAAAGCCACGGCUAACUACGUGCCAGCAGCCGCGGUAAUACGUAGGUGGCAAGCGUUAUCCGGAAUUAUUGGGCGUAAAGCGCGCGCAGGUGGUUUCUUAAGUCUGAUGUGAAAGCCCACGGCUCAACCGUGGAGGGUCAUUGGAAACUGGGGAACUUGAGUGCAGAAGAGGAAAGUGGAAUUCCA